CAGUACAACUCCUACGGGAGGCAGCAGUGGGGGAAUAGUUGCAACAAUGGGGCGCAAGCCUGAUGCGGCCAUGCCGCGUGUGUGAAGAAGGCCCUCGGGUUGUAAAGCACUUUCAGUCGUGAGGAAGGUAGUGUAGUUAAUAGCUGCAUUAUUUGACGUUAGCGACAGAAGAAGCACCGGCUAACUCCGUGCCAGCAGCCGCGGUAAUACGGAGGGUGCGAGCGUUAAUCGGAAUUACUGGGCGUAAAGCACAUGCAGGUGGUUUGUUAAGUCAGAUGUGAAAGCCCCGGGGCUCAACCUCGGAAUAGCAUUUGAAACUGGCAGACUAGAGUACUGUAGAGGGGGUAGAAUUUCAGGUGUAGCGGUGAAAUGCGUAGAGAUCUGAAGGAAUACCGGUGGCGAAGGCGGCCCCCUGGACAGAUACUGACACUCAGAUGCGAAAGCGUGGGGAGCAAACAGGAUUAGAUACCCUGGUAG
rnacentral:rRNA from 1 species